rnacentral:rRNA from 1 species
ACUUCGCUGGCGCCCGGCUUACCCUUUAUAUUCAUUACGAGAUUUUCGGAUCUGGCGGCGGACGGGUGAGUAACGCGUGGGAAUAUGCCCUUCUCUACGGAAUAGCCUCGGGAAACUGGGAGUCAUACCGUAUACGCCCUUAGGGGGAAAGAUUUAUCGGAAAAGGAUUACCCCGCGUUGGAUUAGGUAGUUGGUGGGGUAAUGGCCUACCAAGCCGACGAUCCAUAGCUGGUUUGAGAGGAUGAUCACCCCCACUGGGACUGAGACACGGCCCAGACUCCUACGGGAGGCAGCAGUGGGGAAUCUUAAACAAUGGGGGCAACCCUGAUCUAGCCAUGCCGCGUGAGUGAUGAAGGCCUUAUGUUUGUAAAGCUCUUUCAGCUGGGAAGAUAAUGACGGUACCAGCAGAAAAAGCCCCGGCUAACUCCGUGCCAGCAGCCGCGGUAAUACGGAGGGGGCUAGCGUUGUUCGGAAUUACUGGGCGUAAAGCGCUCGUAGGCGGACCAAAAGUUGGAGGUGAAAUCCCAGGGCUCACCCUUGGAACUGCCUUCAAAACUAUUGGUCUGGAUUUCCAGAGAGGUGAGUGGAAUUCCAAGUGUAGAGGUGAAAUUCGUAAAUAUUCGGAGGACCCCGGUGGCGAAGGGGGUCCUGGCUCCUUGUGGCGCUGAGGUGAAACCUGGGGAGAAAAGGAUAUAUCCCGGGGAUCCCCGCCGAAAGAGGAGGCCCCCCGGG